rnacentral:hammerhead_ribozyme from 1 species
AUCCGGCUGAAGAGUCCCAAAUAGGACGAAACGCGCGUCGUGGAU